GCUGUUGAGAUUAGGUGGCUGCGGCAGUCGCUGGGCAGAACAGUUGCCGCGUCCCUCAGUGCCGCUCUCUAGGCAGCAGCCUCCUUGGCGCUCCGGGCUGGUCAGAGUGUAGCCGCACUAGAACCGGCCGCGGCAAAGGACGGGAUCGCAGUUGGCUGAGUGAUACAUCUUUGCUUUAUGAAAAAGGAAGAUUUUCCCACACCUAAGUAAUACCACUAUCCCUUCAAUUUAUUCCUUAUAUAAAUGCGUGUGUGUAUUCAUAAGUAUGUGUAAAUUUUAAUACAUUUAACAUUGAUGUCUAAUUUGAGAGAUGGCCAACAAUCAAAAUAAAAAUUUAAAAGGUAAUAUAUACAAUCUUACUAAAAAACUCAAGUAAAAUGGAAAACUAUACAAUAUUUUGAAGAAAACAGAAAAUCACUGGGACCUUGGAUUUGGCAGAAAGAUUUGAAAUACAGUAGCAAUUGCUCAACCAGAAGAGAAAAAGGAUCAACGAAUUGUAUUUUAUCACAAUUAGAAACUUUUUCUCUGUGACAGACUUUCAGUGGAAUGAAAAGACAAACCACAGAUUUGGAGAAAACAUUUUCACUUCACUUAUGUCAAUGACUAUGCCUAGGAUCUGUAAAGAAUGCUUAUAAUUUUAUAAUAAUAAAGCAAACGGCCCAAUUUUUAAAAUGGAUUACAAAUAAGCAUAUGAAAAGGUGCUCAACCAGCAACAAUAAUCAUUAGAGAAAUACAAGUUAAAACCACAAUGAGUUACCACUAUACCCUUGUAAGAAUGGCAAAAUUCUUAAAAAUCAAAACCUAACAAUAAAAAGCAAUCACCAGGAUGUAGAGCAUCUGGAACUCUCACAUGUUGGUGGGAACACAAAAUGGCAUAGCCACUUUAGAAAACACUUUGGCAGUUUCUUAAGCCCUUUCUCAGACAUUACCCGAUUUAAAUAUUUAUGUUUGUAAAAACAUGUAUAUAAGAAUGUGUAACAAUUUCAUUUACAAUUGCCGAAAACUAGAAACAACCAAGAUGUCCUUUGAUAGGCGAACAGAUAAACAAACCAUGUUGCAUCUGUUUGAUCCAUGCAGUGGAAUACCACUGAGCAAUAUAAAGAAAUGAUUUAUGUAACAACAUGGAUGAAACUCAAGUACAUCUUGCUAAGCAAUGAAAGAUGCAAAAGCAUGUGUUAUAUGAUUCAAUUUCUAGGACAUUCUAGAAAAAGUAGAAACUACAGGACCAAAAAUAAAUUAAUGCUAGUGGUUUGGGCAGGAGUACUUCAAAAGAAGUUCUUCUGUAUGAUACUGUGGUGGUGGAUGCAUGACUUAAGGCAUUGUCAAAGCUCACAGUACUGUAACUCUCCAAGUGAAUUUUCCUAUAUAUGAAUGAAGAAUCAACCAGAAAGUUGGAGGUUCCUAGGAGGAAAGCAGAUCAUGAUGAGUAGAAUAUAAUUGUGUUACAAAUGUAUGAGAUAGCCCUGAAAAGACAGGUGGAAAAAAAGCUGGCCUACUGUUGAUUUCACAAACAAUAUUUUGACCGGACACUGAGUAGCUAAAGGCAAAAAAAGUUACUGACAUAAACACUAUAUACUUUAAGGUAAGUUUGUUUCAUACAAGGGUACUUCCUGUACAACAAGGUUAUAUAAAUGAGUAAAUAUACUAGAUAAUGGAGGUGAGAGCCGGGGCUGGGGGAGCAACGAUGUAUGCUAUAGUUAGAAACAUUGCUAUAAACUCAGGGUUAGCUGCAAACAUUUACUGAGAGACACAGAGAAAUAUGAACAGCAUUGUAUACUCAAUAUAUAUAUAUAUAUACACACACACAAAAUAUAUAUAUACACUAUAUAUAUACACACACGCACCAUAUAUUUCCUAAUUCUAUACACUGAGAUGAGUUAGAAACUGACACUCUCAUAGCAAUGAGCCUAACAAGUGCCCACCUCAUGGUUACUAAAUAUCAGUACUAUUAUGUUCUCCAGUAUAAAGAACCAAGACUCUGGAUGAAUGGGUGAUUCUAAGGCCUAAUACCCGGAAAAUAUAAAAUGGAUCUGAAGUAUUGUUUAGUGCCAGAAAGGAAGGAAACACAAAAAUAAACAUUAAAGAAAGAUGGGGCAUGUCAAAAGGACACAUGCAAAACAGUGGACAAAGCUAGAAUAAGUUGAACGACAAAAUAACAGUAGUAUUGGAUUAUAACAAAAAUACCUACUCCUUAGUCCAUAUUGAUAAAUAAUUGAAAAGAGAGGCAAAUCUUCCUUACUGAAGAACUCCAAAUAGCAAGUGUAGAAAGACUGAAGAAAAUAGAAAUACACCAUAGUAGUAUCUGCUGCAGGAAAGAUCUAUGAAUGAAUAUUGAAAUUAGUAGGUGAAACUUUAAGGAGGAACUUCAGAGUAACUCCCCCAAAAUAUGUUUUAACUGGUGCAGUGGUUUCAACACAUUCACAUAUUUUCUGAUACCCUCGUGCAGGAGCCAGAGCUGAACUCACCACCCCUUGAAUAUGGGCUGAAGUUAAAAUGAUUUGCUUCUAAUGACUAAAACUACAGAAAGGGAAAAAUAGCUCAGUUACAAUGGAGGAACCUGACCCCCACCACCUUCACCACAUGGAUGUGAUACAAUGAGAAAAACAUCCUGCCUGUGAGGCAGUCUUCUCCGGACCUAUAACCUUAGAAUAAUCCUGGGAAAAUUUAGACAAACCCAAACUGAGCAACACUGAUAACUGACCAGCAUUCUUCAAAAGUGUCAGCCUCAUAAAAAAUAAGACUGAGAAGCUGUCAUAGGUCAGAGAAGAUUAAGAUCUGCUACCAUAAAAGUAAUGAUGGAUCUGGAUGGGAUCCUGGAUCAGAAAAAGGACAUUAGUAGUUAAACUGAGGAAAUAACUGUUGCUUGAUAGAGUUGUAUUAAUGUUAAUUUCCUAGUCUUGGUCAAUAUACCAAGGUUACGUAAGAUGCUAAUGUUAGGGGAAGCUGGUGAACACAAAAGAAUCUUAAGUAUUUAAAGAUAUGUAAGAACUAUGAAGAAAAGUAUAAAAAAAACUUCACUCAGAGACAUUGAAGAAGACAAAUAAUUAGAGAACUAUGCCUUCAUUCCACUGACUAGAAGACUCAAUACUGAAAACGUUCUCCUUAAAUCUUAAAAAAAAUUCCCAAAGUUUGUUUGUGAGCACCUUUGCAAGCUGAUUAUAAAAUUUAGAAGUGUAAAAGGCCAACAAUUGGUAUUAUUCAAGAACAGAGUGGAGAACUUGUUUUACUAAACAUCAGUACUUCUUCCAAAGCAAUGGUCAUGGAAUGUGGUGCUGAUGCAAGGAGAGACUAACAGGCCAGUUGGACAUGACUGAGCAUCAGGAGAUAGUCCCCACAUAUGGACACUUGCAGUGUAUCAGUGGUUGCCUGUAUAUCAUUGAAAGAGGAUGGACUUUUCAAUAAAAUACUCAGGAGCAAUUGCAUAUGCACAUGGGAAAAACAUUAAAAUUGGACCCUUAAUUUCCUAACAUUAUACCCCAAAAACUCAUUCUUGGCAUUCCAGGGGAUUGAAGGCCUAGUUAUGAAAAGCAAAGCUAUAAAACUUAUAUAAUUGAAUAUAGAAUAUCUUCAUAACCUUGGGAUUAGGAAGAAUUUUUUAAAAUCCAAAAGUAAUAACCAUAAAGGAAAAGAUUAAUUUGAUUACAUUAGAGUCAAGACCUAAUCAUCAAAUUACAUUUUAAAGAGUGAAAAGACAACUACAAAAGAAAAAUACCCACAAAAUAUAAAGAACUCCUGCAAAUCAAUAAGAAAAAUAUAAGGGACCUAAUUAAGAAUGAGCAACAGACAAAAUAGCACAUCAUAAAAGAGGAAUCUAAAAGGCUGAUGAGCAUGUGGAAAGGUGUUGUGGCUGACUAGCAAUCAAGGAAAUGUAAAUAAACUCAGGAGCUCAUGGUCCAUGGGGGCCAAUGGCAGACUUCCAGCAGGAAACUGCACAGACAUUACUUAGUUGCAGCCGGGAGAAGGGCUCUGAGUGAAGGGCUCUGUGCCCAUGACAUCCUUGGAGAGACCAGGCAAGGACUGGUAAGCCUUGAGGAAUGUGUGCAACAUUCAGAGGCCCACAGGUCUGGAACCUGGUGUGAGCAUUUUACCGCCCCCAUUUUAGAGACUCAGGGCUGAGAUUCAAGUACCCUGGGUUAUAUUAUACAGUUGUCAAGUGAAAGAGCUAAAACUUCAUCCAGGAUUCAAAUGUUCUUUUGGAAAAUAAGAAAAAGAACACAAAUACAUAUUUCAAUGUCUGCAUCACUUGUAUACAGAAUGAAGGAGCGGCUGCAAGAGGGGCCUGCUUUACAAACACCCAGGAUGAUAAGUGCCAUCUCCAAAGCCUGAGGGCCAAGGCUGAGCCACUCGACCCCUGAGAAAGGCCCUGUGCUGGUGUUUUAGGAAAUUAAAAUGUGCACAUCAGUUGGCUGCUCAGAGCGGGUGGGGCUUGCACCUGCCAGAGAGGAAUGUGUGCUCUUUGGUUUAAUCCUGGGAACAGCACAAGGGGCCCUGCAAGUGAGAGGGGCUCCACAGGGUUGUUUUUCCAAAUCAAAAGGAGAGACUGCUAUCUGCCAGGCAUGUGUGUCGGUGACUGUUGGGUGUGCUUCUUCCUCCACAGGGACACAAAAGACCAGGGCUGCCACCUCCUCUUCAAUUUGACCUGGAGCCCCAGCCAGUGCAGAAUUCUAGAAGAUUGUGGAGGGGUGGGGGGCAGGGACUCAACUCCUCCUAGAUAUGGUGGUGCUGUUUCUUUUAGUCAAGGACUUGGGACAAGUGCUGUACACUAACAGGCCCUGCUGGCCACUCCCACUUCUGAGGAGCCCAGUGUUGGUCUAUCACAAUGAUGUGAAAAGAUUGCCCAGCUGCAGAGCAAGCAGAAUCCAUGGUGAAUGUGACAAGGCAGCUCAUCUGGACACCCAGACCCUGCAGAGGGCAAUGGAGCAGUGCCAGGUGUUCUCUGCUGAACCAGCCAGAGUGCCUGGCCCUGGGGAACAAGCACUAUUUCCUGGUGACAAUGAAGUCACACUUUUCUAAGGCAGUCCCAGUUUUUGAUGCUUUCAUUCCUUGGCUGUCUUUGCCUUUUCAAGGCCAGAAUUUGGGCCUAAGUUUUCAGGGCAGAACAAAACAAUUUUGUUUUCUAGGAAAAUGGGAGGUCUGGGAUGGCGAAUGCAGCAUCAGGCGUGGUGACUGCCCCAGCUGGGGCCGCCAGCUGCCAAGUCUCACCCUGUCUCAAGAGAACCGGAACCAGACUCGGCACAGCAUCUUCCUUUCCAGCCAGUAGACCUGCUCAGUAGGGUUAUUUGAAUUUUAUUUUACAAAAUAUAACCACAGAAAAAAGACUGGAAGGAAACAGAUCAAAAUGUUAAUUGUGUUUGUCCUUGUGUCAAGGGACUUUGGGUGAUUUUUAUUUCCUUCCUUAUCAUGUUUGUGUUUUCAAUUUUGAAUGCUAUUUUCAUAAGUCAGAAAACAAUAAUUCUUGAAAGUCUCUCUUAUCUGUGCCUUGCUCUCAGGCCCAUGGCCCUGCUACAUGUCAUCCUGGAGUUAACAGAAUGUAUGAGUGUCCCACAUCCCUUCCCUCUUCCUUAAGUUGUUCAUUUGGCUAGACUCUACAGAACUCUUCUGCCAUGAAGUUCUCCAAGUAUUUCCAUUCCAACAGCAUGCGGCCUCACUUUCUCUGCAUUGAGCGCUUACUCCUCCUUGCUUAUACCAGGUCAGCAUUCAAGUGCCAGGUAAUGGUCCAGCUCACCCCUGCUGCCCGCUGCCCUCUGCUGAGUGUUGUUGGCAUCUGUGCUCUUCUCGGUACCUUCACCCAGCUGCUCAGCCUCUGCCCUCCUCCUAAUUAAAAUCCUGCUUAAUCUCCCAGGUGUAACCCAAGACUUUUUCCCCCACGAGCUUCCCAAGAUUGCUGCCUCCUCUGGAUGACUGUGGGGCUUAUAUGUGCCUGGCCCUCAGCACAGGAACCUUGCAUUCUGCCUCCCCCACAUCCCUCCUGUGCCUGGCAUAAGCAAGAUUGCUGAGCCAGCUCAUCCCUCUGGAUAAACAGAAGCUGCCCCUUUCCUCCCCAAGGUGUGGCCCCUUUUCUGGCUUUCUCAAGAAAUCUCCCCCUCUUGGUGGAUUCACCAGAGCCUUGUGGAUACUGCACUGUGAAGAGAACUGUUCCCUAGGGCAUCUGGACAGCUGCAGCCAGGCCCUGCGUGACAUUGCUGAGCUGAAGCCCCACAGCCUGUGCCAGCUGCCAUGCCCAACUCAUAGACCCUGAGCCAGAGCAGCCCCGUCACCACCUGUGUCUCCUCUCAGAGGCGAGAAGUAAGGGACACGGACAGAAAGAGUAAAAGCCAUUCCCACAACAGCUGCCAGGAACAAGGCGAGGAGUGGAGUGAAAAUGUAUAUUCACAGUUGGCACCCAGUUCCGCUUAGGAAAAUACCUUGCUUGAGUGGACACCUGUUGUUUUUGCCUGCCCAGCAGCCAAGCCUGGCUUUUGGAAACAGCUUCUUGAAUCUUCUUUAAAGGGAUUCCCUCCUUUUCUAUGCCUAGGGUUCAAGGUGCAGGUACCCACUGGCCAACUUCAGAGGGGUUGUUGUGGCUCCCACCUUGGACACCAGAAGCAGAGUUGCACAUCAGAGGAUGGUUUGUAUCCUGUUUGGGGUCAACGACAGCCUGGCUCAGACUAUGGCAGGAAUUAUGAGAAAAAGAGAUGACCUUUUUUGCUGGUUUGCCGAUUUUGGCGUAUACAAGCUAAUUAAUGGCUAUCUUGUCUAUUCGAAAGUGGUUGCCUAAGGAUAUAGCUAUGUCAUGGGGCCAAUGGAUAGAGAAAGUGAGAGAGAAAACAAAAGAAUGAACCGGGUGGAGGGGGGAGGAGAGCAAGAUCAUCACAGCCCAGGGGUCCAGCUGUGUCUGGAACAGCUGGGUCCAGAUGUGUGAGCCAAAAAAUGUCCCUUUUGUCCUUAAGCUAGUUUGAGUUGGGGUUCCAUCAUUUGUUACCCAGAGAGUCUUCAGGAAUGUGUGUGACAAACUUGAGGGUGACACGUGUGUUUAAGAUGUGGCUGGGAGGGGGAGGUCAAGGUUACAAAAGAGCUAAACUCCUCCAGAUAGUCCUUGCUGGGCUUUGCAGGGCAGAAGGCAGGGAGGAAAAGGCUGGUGGGAAAGAAGUUGGCCUGAGGCCUGAGCCCCAACCCUGCAAAGCCAGGGAGCUCUGGGAAAGGGGCUCCCUAAGGCUGGUUUUUGACUUUCUACUAUUGUAAUGCAAAUCCCCAUAACUUCAGGGAGCCCCUUUCCACACUCUUGUGUAAGAGGGUGUGUGGAGCAAAUUGUGGAGCAUGUUGGGGCUCAUUUAGUCAAAGGUGAUCCAGAAUAGAUUGGACAUGACAGUGAUACAAGAGUUGAAGACCUGUGGAAUCCGGAGAAAUCCCUGUAAGGAUGCUGGCCUCUGUACAAUCCUUGAGUUUCGAUUUAUGGGUCCCCUUGUCCUCCAAAUGCUUCCCUUCACAAUGGAGACACGGAUAUCAGCAUAUACAAAUCCUGGAAUCAGUGGAAAUAGUUUUGUGGGCCCAACAGUGGAGUCUGAAUAGUGGAGAUGCUGAGCAGGACAGACAACAGAGGCAGGACAGGGUCAGCCCUGAGUGAGCCCAGGAAAUGGAAAGAGAGCAACACAGCUACCCACAAAACAAAAUCAACCCACCCGAGUCUCCAUGCUGCAGGAAGUCACUGUCCAGGUCUCCCAAGACACUUUCAGGGGAAGGUUCCAGGCAACAAGAGCAGCCCCGGGAAACUUUAAUAUACAAUGGAAUCUGGGUUAAGCACUAUCUUCUCCAAGAGUUGAGCUCACAGGACAUUCCCCAGAAACCUCUGGAGAGGUGGGGAGGAAAGUUUCUGGAGGUCUUUGGAUGAAGAAAACAAAAAAGUGGCCUUGAUUUUCAAGGCAAAAUUACACAGGAAGAAAAAAAUGUUUUUAAUCUAAUUAAGAGCGAUCUUUUCACCUUCAUCACAACAUCACGGAAAUGUGCCAGUUCUUAACUUCACACAAUAAUCAAAGCAAUUAGUGAGGGAGAAGCCUUGGAAACUGGUGCAGAUGUUCUCAGAAUGUUUAAUGGGGAAAUGAGUUGCAGGCCUCGGUCUCAGCAUCCGGCUCCAGGCCCUGGCUACCAAAUCCAGACAUCUGCUGAAGCCCCACCCCCAGGCCCCGAGGGCGCAGGCUUGAGAAACACAGGUCCCUUCCCAGGCUGCCUCCAGCCAGGCCAGAUCUGGGACUGAAAGGCUCCCCGUGGCUUCUCAAGCCAGAGCCUGGACACAGUCAGAGCCACCCCAGAGCUGGGGGGAGACUUAACGUCAAAAUUAUGUUAACAACUGAUGUCAAAAGUAAUCAACUCAGCCUGGUUCCCCCAUUCCUGCUGCCUGUAGGAGGACUGUGAACAAGAGGAGGGCAAGAGGUCCCAGAGGUACCUCUGCAAAGAACCCCUCAUCAUGAACACCAUUUCAUGUAAAGAUAUAGUAGCAUCUGCUCAGUGUGCCUUGUGGGCCUCAUUUGAAUGCUGCUGGACCUACUAGGUCCAGGAAUCAAACUGGGCAAUCCUUGAGAAAUUUCCAGUAAUCAGAAAACGUGUACAAGUGAGGAUCAUCCUUAGGAAAUAGCCUGUUCCAAGAAGGAGAAGGAUGCAUGGCUAAUGUUAAAUGGCUGUAGGAGAGAUAGAAUCCCUGGGCAGGCAGUUUAGUAAACCUGGAUUCCCUACUCGAAUGGCAUGCACUAGGAACAUGGAGGUAAGAAAAUAUUGAUCCUGUUCUCAGGGACACAGGCAUUGUGGGGCCCCACCUGCGUACCACCUUCAGCAUGCACAUCUUUCACACUGAAGGCUUCUCAAUGUAUGCCUCCCAGAUACACUAAUGAGCACCAACCCUGAUAUCAGGGCUGCUUAAUUGUGCAUUUGGCAAGAGGGAUGGGAAAUGAAUCCUUGGGAAGUAUUCAGUAGUGACAAAUAACCAGUUUCCUUCUUCACUGGUAGAACUGUAAAGCAUGUUCUCUACAGAGAUACCCAGCUGCCUACCUUGGAGCUCUUUCUUGGUGACUGGCAUAGCAUUCCUGAGUUAGGCUUUACAUCCAUGGAAACUGACCCAAGACAAUGUGAGAGGAAGCUGCUGAAGCAUUUAUGAAAGGAAGCAGCAAGACACACUGUAUAUUUAAAGAAUCCUCUGGGGAUACUGUGGAAGUUGAGAGACCAUUGAAGAGGAAAGAGCAACAACCCAGGAAGAGAAAUGAUAGUGACAUUUACAAGACAGGUCUGUGGAGAGGUUAUGAAAGGGCAAAUCCAAAGAAUUGACAAAACUCGCUGAGGUAUUUGACGGGGGCAAUAAAUUUUUCUUAAAUGCAAAAUUUGAAAGAGACUUUGACGGAGGUUGGAGAACAAUAGCAUGCUGCUUCCCUCCCUCUGACUUCAAAUCUCCCCAUAUACCUUCCUAAAACAAAACCAAACAAAAUUGCAUUUAAAGCAAUACAUGACCCAUGCAUUCUGCAGUACUAGAAAGCAAUACUAUGAACUAUGAAAGGAGAAAACCGAAUUCUGACCACAUUCUAGCCCUCUGCCCAUCAUUGCAAGCCUGUAGGUGCAAAAUGUCCAACAAAGCUUAAGAUGUUUUGUCAGAAAAAUUGACUAUGGUGAGCAACAUUGCAAAAAUAUUUCCAAGGACACUUCCCUUCACAGAUACAUUUUUAAAGAGGCAGAACCUCAGAAUCAACCUUGUCAAAACUCUGAAAAGCAGUUGAUGGUUUACAGCAAUUAAGUGAAAAAGUUAUAAUACAAUUUAAAAAUGGUAGGAAAUGAAGUGUUAUGGCACACACCUGUAAUCCCAGCAUUUGGGAGGCUGAGGCAUGAGGAUAGCCUCGAGUUCAAGGCCAAUCUGAACUACAAAGCGAGAUCCUGUCUCAAAACAACGACAACAACAAACAAAAUGGUAGGAAAGUGUUGUGGCAUUUUUAUUUGCCCUUUCAGCAGCACCCCCCCCCCCCAGCUUGGUCAAUCUUGCAGAUGGAAGCUUGUAGUGUAUUUCAAGUGUUGUAUACUAGUCCCUGGUUUUAGAAGGAGCAGAAAUCUUACUUUAAAAGAAUUGGGUCUUUUCUAUAUUGAUUGAGGGCUGCCUGAAGGACUGAUGUAAAGUGAUCGCCUUUGUUUCACCUAACUUACAACUGAUUCAGGGAGGAAAAUUUUGAAUGUUGCUUGCAAACAUGGUAAGACGCUUGAACAAAUCACGAUGACCUGGAGAACAGGAACCAGAGGAAAAGAUUCGAGGUUGAGGCAUGUUAGGCUACUGAAAACCUUUGACGACCAUCUACUGAGAGUUUCUCUGGGAAAAUGGAGCAUUGCAAAGCUUCUGUGUAUCCUGAGGAAAUCUGUAAAUCAAUGUAUGUUCACAGGGUUGGAUGGAUGCUAAGAAAAGCCCUCAGAACACCAUUAAAUUUACUGCUGGAUGAUUUCUAUGCUCACCUCAAACUGUAAAUGAAGGCUAAGAGGGUUGUAAACAGCCUGGCUAAAUGUUGAAGGAAUACUCUAGCAGAGCUAAUUUGCAAAAGCUGCAAUAAUUUUUGUUUCCUUUUCAUGAUCUCUCUCUGACUCGUGGCACUCAAGGGUAUCUGUUAUAAUGAACUGAACAUAGGUUAAAGGAAAAGGAAUUACAAAGACCACCCCUGACAAUACACACUUCACAAAAAAUAGUUUAGAAGUCACUAAACAAACAGCUAUAGACUGUGGGAUUUAAAAAGGUCCUGAUUUCCAAAGUUAUCAUACAUAUUCUUAAAAUAUUUAGUGUUAAACAGAAAUAUGAGAAAAUAUAUGGCCAUUUAUAGAAGAAACUAUCUAAGGAAACACACUGAGCUUAUUGGACAAAGACUGCAAGUCUAAAAUAUUCUCAGAGAUCUAAACAAAUUAUGAGCAGAGAACUAAAGGAAACCAGGACAAUAGACAAUGUCAAUAAAUACAUAAACUACACAAAAAAAUUUAAAGUUCUGGGGCUGGGGAUUUAGCUCAGUGGUUCUGCCGCCUGCCUCGAAAGUGCAAGGUCCAGAGUUCAAUCCCCAAUACCAAAAAAAUUUUAAAAAAUUAAAAGAAAAUAAAGUUAUGGAACUCAAAAAUAUAACAAAUGAAGAAACUCAAUAAACCAGAGACUAGCAGGUUAAAUUAGCAGAUUAGGUAAAAGAGUGAGUCAGUGAAUUCAAGAAAGCUUGAGUAAAAUUAUCAAUUCUGAGCAUCAGAGGGAAGAGAAUGAAGAAAAAUGAGCCAAACCUGAUAGCCCUAUAGUAUACCAUCAAGAACACAGGAAGAAUAUUUCAACUUCCCCAAUUUGAUGAAGCACAUGAAUCUAUAUGUCCAUGAGCCUAUAGAAACUCCACAAAGGAUAAAAAGUCACUCAACAUAAACCGUUAAAAGAGAAUUGUGAAGGGAGCAAGAGACAUGACUCAUCAUGUAGUGAUUUCAAUAACAAUAACAUUUCUCAUCAGCAAGUAUGGAGGCCAGAAGGGAAUGUGAUGGCUUUAAGUGUUGAGAGAAAAAAGCAGUUUAACAGCAAAUAAUUUUGUAUCUAGCAAAAUUAUUCUUCAAAAAUGAAGAAUUCAGAGCCUUUCCAAAUGAACAAAGGACAAGAGUGCUCAUCACUAGUUGAUUUUCUGCACAAAAUGUGAUAAAGAGACUCAUGAUUAAAUAAAAGGACACUAGAAAAUAAUUUGAGACGGCACAUAAAAAUAUGAAAUUCUACAAUAGGUAUCUACACAAACAAAAUUCAGCAUUAUUCUAUUUUUAGUUCAUAAUUCAAUUCCUAUCUGAUGUAAAAAUGCAUAAAACAAAUCUAGAUAAUGAUACUUAAAUGUAUCUUACAUAAAAUACAUUUUGAAACUACAGGCACAUAUAAGAGAAUGGAGGUCUAUGGGAUUUUAACUUUUGUGUGUUAUUGAAACUAUAUUAGUAGAAGUCCAAACUAGAGUUUUAUAAAUUUAUAAUGUUAGUUGUAACUCCCAUCUAAACUAUGCAGAAAAUGUCUUAAAAUAUAUGCUUACAUUUCUACACGUAAGAGGCUUAGAAUGCACUACUGUGUCUUAACAAUUAAGUUAAAAGUUGAACAAACUGAAAAAUCAACUCUUUUAAAAUAUGUAGCAGAACUGAGAUUAGAGGGCAAACCACCACUCUCAAAACUGAAGAGAGACAGGUGGAUACAGAGAAUCAACAUAUUA